rnacentral:tRNA from 1 species
GCCUUCGUAGUGUAGUGGUCAGCACGGUCGACGCGUAUUCGAGAGGUCCAUGGUUCGAGUCCCGGCGAGGGCA